rnacentral:lncRNA from 1 species
AAAAUUAGCCAGGCAUGGUGGCAGGCGCCUGUAGUCCUAGCUACUCGGGAGGCUAAGGCAGGAAAAUCACUUGAACCUGGGAGGCAGAGGUUGCAGUGAGCCAAGAUCAUGCCACUGCACUCCAGCCUGGGCAACAGAGCGAGACUGUCUCAAAAACAAAUAAAAAAGAAAAUAGCUUUGACCACAUGGGUGCCCUGAAAAGGCUAGGGGCCCUGGGGAUGGGCCACACUUCAAGGUUGCUGGAGGACCACGUGCGCCAGGCUUGCAUUGUGGAUGUGAAGCCAGCUGUUGAAUUCACGGGCAGCCAUAAGGCCGUGACCAGAGCCAGUCUUACUGUCGAGGAACAGCCAUGUCCUGUACCCAUUGCUGGACCUGUGGCUCGAAACCCCACGGGAGGGCAGGGCUGCUGGCUGCUGUGACUUCCCACGUCCAGGGAGACCCGGGCCCAGGGGCUGUGCUCCCAGCAGCAAUGCUCAGUCAGGGCCCUCUUUCUGUCCACAGUUUGAUGAAGGCCGGAACAACUUUGAAGGGGAGGUCACCAAGGAGAACCUGCUGGACUUUAUCAAACACAACCAGCUGCCCCUUGUCAUCGAGUUCACCGAGCAGACAGCCCCGAAGAUUUUUGGAGGUGAAAUCAAGACUCACAUCCUGCUGUUCUUGCCCAAGAGUGUGUCUGACUAUGACGGCAAACUGAGCAACUUCAAAACAGCAGCCGAGAGCUUCAAGGGCAAGGUGAGCUGCUCUUCUGGGUGGCUCGUG